rnacentral:rRNA from 1 species
GUCCACGCUGUAAACGAUGGGGACUAGGUGUGGGGGGUAUUGACCCCUCCCGUGCCGACGCUAACGCAUUAAGUCCCCCGCCUGGGGAUUACGGCCGCAAGGUUAAAACUCAAAGGAAUUGACGGGGGCCCGCACAAGCGGUGGAGCAUGUGGUUCAAUUCGACGCAACGCGAAGAACCUUACCUGGGCUAGACAACAGGGGACAGUCUCAGAGAUGAGAUCUUCUCUUCGGAGACCCCUGGUUCAGGUGCUGCAUGGCUGUCGU